rnacentral:tmRNA from 1 species
GGGGGUGUAAUGGUUUCGACGGGGACAUUUGAAGUUGUAGAAGCGUGCCGAGGUUCCUACAGGCCUCGUUAAAUAGGUAGGAAACAUAUAAUCGCAGACAACUACGAUUACGCCUUAGCCGCUUAAGACGGCUAACGUUCCACCCGGUUCUCCUGUUGAUCGGAAUGGAACGUCAUUCAGACAGGAUAGCCAAACUUCUUUCCUGGGGGAGGGCGGCGAAUUCCUACAGGAUAGCGCGGUGCGAUCCGGCCUUAGGGAGCAAUCCAGCGUGAAGGUUCUAAAACGAAGGCUACGCACGUAGAGGCUCCAGCGGAAGGUUUUCGGACGCGGGUUCGAUUCCCGCCACCUCCACCA